rnacentral:rRNA from 1 species
GCUUAUGGCCAUACCACCCUGAGAACGCCCGAUCUCGUCUGAUCUCGGAAGCUAAGCAGGGUCGGGCCUGGUUAGUACUUGGAUGGGAGACCACCUGGGAAUACCCGGUGCUGUAAGCU